rnacentral:rRNA from 1 species
GAUCAUGGCUCAGGAUGAACGCUAGCUACAGGCUUAACACAUGCAAGUCGAGGGGAAACGAUAUAGAAAGCUUGCUUUCUUUAGGCGUCGACCGGCGAAUGGGUGAGUAACGCGUAUCCAACCUGCCCCUGAGUAAGGGAUAGCCCAUCGAAAGAUGGAUUAAUACCUUAUGGUCUCCUUUGCAGACAUCUAAUUAGGAAGUAAAGAUUUAUCGCUGAGGGAUGGGGAUGCGUCUGAUUAGCUUGUGGCGGGUAACGGCCCACCAAGGCAACGAUCAGUAGGGGUUCUGAGAGGAACGGUCCCCCACAUUGGUACUGAGACACGGACCAAACUCCUACGGGAGGCAGCAGUGAGGAAUAUUGGUCAAUGGACGAAAGUCUGAACCAGCCAAGUAGCGUGCAAGGAUGACUGCCCUAUGGGUUGUAAACUGCUUUUAUACGGGGAUAAAGUCAGGGUCGUGACCCUGUUUGCAGGUACCGUAUGAAUAAGGACCGGCUAAUUCCGUGCCAGCAGCUGC